rnacentral:rRNA from 1 species
CAGUAGCCACGGUAAUACGAAGGGGGCUAGCGUUGUUCGGAUUUACUGGGCGUAAAGGGUGCGUAGGCGGAUUGUUAAGUCAGGGGUGAAAUCCCGAGGCUCAACCUCGGAACUGCCUUUGAUACUGGCGAUCUUGAGUCCGGGAGAGGUGAGUGGAACUGCGAGUGUAGAGGUGAAAUUCGUAGAUAUUCGGAAGAACACCAAUGGCGAAGGCGGCCAUCUGGGACAACACUGACGCUCAGGUGCGAAAGCGUGGGGAGCAAACAGGAUUAGAUACCCCAGUAGUCCCUGUCUCUUAUAC